rnacentral:rRNA from 1 species
UCUCAGUUCGGAUUGGAGUCUGCAACUCGACUCCAUGAAGCUGGAUUCGCUAGUAAUCGCGCAUCAGCCAUGGCGCGGUGAAUACGUUCCCGGGCCUUGUACACACCGCCCGUCAAGCCAUGGAAGCCGGGAGUGCCUGAAGUGUGCAACCGCAAGGAGCGCCCUAAGGUAAAACUGGUGACUGGGGCUAAGUCGUAACAAGGUAUC